GCUGGCGGCAUGCCUAACACAUGCAAGUCGAACGGUAACGCGGAGAGCUUGCUCUCUGGCGACGAGUGGCGGACGGGUGAGUAAUACUUAGGAAUCUGCCCAGUAGUGGGGGACAACAUUCGGAAACGGAUGCUAAUACCGCAUACGCACUACGGUGGAAAGUGGGGGAUCUUCGGACCUCAUGCUAUUGGAUGAGCCUAAGUCGGAUUAGCUUGUUGGUGAGGUAAUGGCUCACCAAGGCGACGAUCCGUAGCUGGUCUGAGAGGACGAUCAGCCACACUGGGACUGAGACACGGCCCAGACUCCUACGGGAGGCAGCAGUGGGGAAUAUUGGACAAUGGGCGCAAGCCUGAUCCAGCAAUGCCGCGUGUGUGAAGAAGGCCUGCGGGUUGUAAAGCACUUUCAGUAGAGAAGAAAAGCCUAGGGUUAAUACCCCUGAGUCUUGACGUAACCUACAGAAGAAGCACCGGCUAACUCCGUG
rnacentral:rRNA from 1 species